AUACUUACAGCUAAUACUCACUUCCUUAGCGGAGCUUUAAGAAAUUCCAUGUCUCUCUCUCUUCUUUUCUCUGUUCAAAUGUAGAAAUUAACCCCGAAAAGAAAAAGGGAAAAACACUGAAUCAAGGAAAAAGCUUCAUUCAAUAUUUGAAUAAUUUUUUAAAAAUUGGAGUUUAGUUCAGCGACGGUUGUACGUGGAUUUGGUGAGAAUAAAAUUCCGAUGACAACAACUUUCAGUCCGGGUCGGAGCCCGGGGAGUUCGAGGCUUCAGUUAGGAGCAGCCAGUGGAGUGUCGAGGCUUAGAUCUUCGUUGCUUAAGAAGCCGCCGGAGCCUUUGCGUAGGGCGGUGGCGGAUUGUCUCUCGUCCUCGUCGUCUUCUUUUUCGUCGCCGGCGACGGUGGCUGGAGGAGUUAGCUCGUAUUAUCAUGGGAGUCCUUCUUUGGUUUUAUCUGAGGCUUCUAGGACGCUUCGGGACUAUCUGGCAGCACCCUCAACAACUGACCAGGCUUACAUUGUUAUCUUAGAGCAUACAAUUGCAGAGAGAGAACGCAGCCCAGCUGUAGUUGGAAGGUGUGUGGCUCUCCUGAAGCGAUACCUUUUACGAUAUAAGCCCAGCGAGGAGACAUUGCUGCAAAUAGAUCGGUUUUGUGUUAACAUCAUUGCUGAAUGUGACAAUAGCCCAAAUAGAAGGUUGUCACCAUGGUCACAAUCAUUAAAUCAACAAUCUGGUUCAUCGACAACGUCAACAUCAUUGGCAAGUGUUUCUCCUUUGUUGCCUGUAUCUAGUUUUGCUUCUGUGGCACUUGUAAAGUCAUUGAAUUAUGUGAGAUCCCUAGUGGCUCAAUAUAUUCCAAAGCGGUCGUUCCAGCCAGCAGCUUUUGCUGGAGCAACCUUGGCAUCAAGACAGUCACUUCCUACGUUGUCGUCUUUGUUGAGUAGAUCCUUCAAUUCCCAGCUAUGCCCUGUGAAUGGUGGAGAAUCUUCAGAGAAUAAAGAUGCUACAACUUUAUCUGUUUCAAACUUGUCAAACAUUGAGGAAGCUGAUGGAUUAGAGAAUCCUGAAUAUAUUGCGAAUGAUGUUUUAAAAUGGCGCUGGCUUAGAGAUCAUCCGUCAUCAUUAUUAUUUUCUGAAAGUGACCGAUCUGUGAAUGUUCAAGACAUGAGAAGACAUAAUUUCUUAGAAGUAGGAGCAGCUGCUCUACUUGUUGGAGACAUGGAAGCUAAAAUGAAGGGCCAGCCCUGGAAAUAUUUUGGCACUGCUGAUAUGCCUUAUCUUGAUCAACUCUUACAGCCCUCAUCAGUCACAACAAUUGCCAAGUCUGCGUCUGCUCGCUCCCACUUGAGAGCAAUAACAGCAUUGAAACGCAGUAAAGGAGGACCUCGCCAAAUUUGGGAUGAUUCGCCAGCAAGCACAUUCCGCCCACGUGCCCGGCCACUUUUCCAGUAUCGUCACUACAGUGAACAACAACCUUUGCGAUUAAAUCCUGCUGAGGUAUGCGAGGUUAUUGCUGCUGUCUGCUCUGAGACAUCUUCGACAAAUACUAAUACCAUGACGGUAUCAUCUAGAUUAAGUAAUAACAGUGGAAAGCCGUCAAUAGAUGUGGCUGUGAGCGUCCUUAUUAAGCUGGUUAUUGACAUGUAUGUCUUGGAUACUGGAACUGCUGCUCCUCUCACUCUGUCUAUGCUUGAGGAGAUGCUUAGUUCCCCAAGAACAGCUUGUAGGGUUCGUGCUUUUGAUUUAAUUCUAAACCUUGCCGUCCAUGCUCAGUUGUUGGAGCCCAUGAUAAUUGAUGAUAAUCCUGCAAUUGAAGAAGAAUAUUCUCAAGAAUUACUUUUAAAUAGUGAAGAUCAGCUUACCACAGGGAUAAGGAAAAUCGAUUCUGCCAAGAAGUUGGGCACAUCCUCAGCCAUUGAUAAAUUUGAGUCUUGGAUUUUAAACAUUUUAUAUGAGAUACUUCUUCUUCUUGUUCAGACUGAAGAGAAGGAAGAAUCUGUCUGGGCUUCUGCCCUAAGCUGUUUACUAUAUUUUGUCUGUGAUAGAGGCAAAAUCUGGAGGAACCGAUUAAAAGGACUUGACAUUAGGGUGGUCAAGGCACUAAUAGAGACUAGCCGGGUAAAUUCCUGGGCUGAACUUGUUCAUUGCAAGCUUGUUUGUAUCCUAACAAACAUGUUUUAUCAAGUACCCGAUGAAUCUACUCCAGCUGCCAUGAGCACAGCAAGCUUUCUUGUUGACCAGGUUGACCUGAUUGGAGGAAUUGAUUUUAUCUUCAUUGAGUAUUCAUUGUCAACCUCAAGGGAAGAAAGAAAACAUCUAUAUUUGGUGCUUUUUGACUUUGUUUUGCAUCAAAUAAAUGAAGCAUGCAUAUCGACAGGAGUUUCUGAAUAUAGUGAUGAUGAGAUUCAACCUCUUGCUACACUGCUUGCUUUGGCUGAUGCACCUGAAGCUUUUUAUAUUUCUGUUAAGCUGGGGGUGGAAGGCAUUGGGGAACUUUUGAGAAGAUCAAUUUCCGCUGCAUUGUCUAGAUACCCUAACAGCGAGCGAUUGAAUACGCUGUUGCAAAAUAUUACAGAGAAAUUGGAUACAAUAAUAAGUUCAUUUACUCAUUUGGACAAAGAGUUCUUGCAUCUGAAACAGAUAACAAAAUCCUACAAGUUCAUGGAUAGUAUUGAGGAUUCAUCCCUGCGAAAUGGUGUUGGAAUGAAAGCAAAGCUCGCUUGGGCCAUUUUACAUUCUCUUCUUCAUUCAGAUAGAAUCUCUUACCGCCAAAACGGAUAUAUCUGGUUAGGAGAUCUGCUUAUUACUGAAAUAAGUGAGUCAAAGGAUGGGAGUAUAUGGUCUAAUGUCAAGAGCUUGCAGAAUAAAAUUACUUAUGCUGGUGUUCAUGAUUCCUCUGUUCCUUCCGACGUACCUUUGUCUAUUUGGUUGAUGUGUGGUCUUUUGAAGUCAAAGAACAACAUUAUUAGAUGGGGCUUCCUAGUUAUUCUGGAGAGGCUUCUCAUGCGGUGCAAAUUUUUGUUAGACGAGAGUGAAAUGCAACACUCAAGCAACAGUGAUGUUGGCCCUGAUCAUAGAGAUACACGACUCGAGAAAGCAAAUGCAGUGAUAGACAUCAUGAGCAGUGCUUUGUCCUUGGUAGCUCAAAUAAAUGAAACAGACCGCAUGAAUAUUUUAAAGAUGUGUGACAUUCUAUUCUCUCAACUGUGCUUGAAAGUUCCCCCCUCAACUGUGAUGCCAUUUGGAGAAGGAAUACAACAGACUAAAGUUUUCACUCGCUCAGAUGAAAUUAGAAAAACUAAUACUGCUGAGCGUAUAUCUCCGCAAGCAAGCUGUCGCUGGGAUGAAUUAAUGGAGGAAACUGAUAGCAAAUCAGGCUACGGUGUUAGUAGUCCUCCGAUACGUGAGACAGCUUCUAUGGCUGCCCUACUACUCCGAGGACAAGCCAUUGUGCCAAUGCAAUUAGUUGCCCGUGUUCCAGCUGCUCUGUUUUAUUGGCCAUUGAUUCAACUUGCAGAUGCAGCAGCUGACAACAUUGCACUAGGGGUUGCUGUUGGAAGCAAAGGAAGAGGGAACCUUCCUGGUGCUACUUCUGAUAUUCGUGCGACCCUUCUUUUGCUUCUAAUUGGUAAAUGUACUGCAGAUCCUACAGCUUUUCAGGAAGUUGGUGGAGAAGAAUUUUUCAGGGAACUUUUGGAUGAUACUGAUUCUCGGGUGGCAUAUUACUCUUCAGCUUUUCUAUUGAAGAGAAUGAUGACUGAAAAGCCAGAAAAGUACCAACACAUGCUACAAAAGCUUGUCUUCAAAGCUCAACAGAGUAACAACGAAAAGCUGCUUGAGAAUCCAUAUCUUCAGAUGCGUGGGAUAUUUCAGCUGUCAAAUGAUCUUUGAGCUUGGUUGUAUUUGAUGAUGCUUCUCCACAAAGUUUAAUUUACCUUCUGGCUGGAGGCACUGCAGUGUUCUUUAACAUGACUUCUUUUGCUCAUAAUUUUUCAACCCUGGCAACAUUUGGCCUGUGUUUGGGAGACCAUUCUUGAUGUAUGCUUGAUAUUGUGAGCCUUCAUAAGGUAGUCUGGAAUCCUAAAAGUAGUUCAGAGCAGCAAAAUUAUUGAAUUUAGGCCAAGAGUGUGAGUUCCAAGCCGGCUCCCUUCCAAUCUAGAAAGAAUUAAAAUAUUGAGCUAUAUGACAUUGGAUGACUGUGUAAAUUCUUUGCUUGCUGCUAUAUAUGCGCCCAGAUCUGCUGUGGAGAAAUAGAGAAGGAAUGCCAGGAAUCAAAUGGAAUGACUGGAGUAUUGAUUCUUCUGCCUUUUGUUCUGCAGCUGGAAUGUGUAUAUCAUGGCAAUGAACAUAUCUUCAGAUUCUUGUGCAUGACACACCGAAGAAUUUCCGGGCUACUACAGGAGACUCUUUUCUUUGUACAGAACUAGAUUUUCCCGUAUCUUUCCAAACUUUUUAACAAUUAAUGAGCGCGAGUCAAUGUUGGCUACUUUUUAAAGGCCAUCUGUAGUAAUAAUAAAGAAAAAAACCUCAAAGUUUUAACUCAUAGAGGUUCAUUACCCUGAUCGCGAUUAGAACAAAGGAUCCUUUAUUUCCAAUAGAUAGGACCUUCAAGGCUCUUCAAUUUCCAUUAAUAGGGGUAUCAGUUAUCACCUUGGUUGUCUGUUUUUAAGGGGCAUCUCCAAGGUGUGCCUGAUAGUGUUCAUUCACAUUAUUUUAACAGUGUAAAUAUUGUGAAUUUGGCUCUUAUUUUUGGCCUGCCUCUGACUAAUUGCAACUGUUGUAAUAUGGAUGCUGAGAAUUUUGCUUCUUGUAUAAGUUUUGGUUGUUUGAUUUUUGAGUAAAAGAAAUUUUGGCUUAGCUUCUCAGACUUGUGUAUCUUUUUCAACUUAGCUUCAUACUCUUUUUGUGUACUAUUUCUUCUUAAUAAAGAAAGGAAUUUUGUCUGGCA